GCUAAAAGGAACGAUCGUUGUGAUAUGAGUUGUUCCCAACAUAUCACAGUGAUUUUCCUUUAUAUCGC
rnacentral:pre_miRNA from 13 species